GGAGCUGGCAGGGCCAGUGCCAGCUGGGCAGCCGCAGGCAGCGCUCAGGACCCUCCCACCAUGGCCUGGCUACCCUUCUACCUCCUGCCCCUCGUCGUCUCCACAGGUCUCUGUGCUGCUCCUGUGCUCACCCAGCCCCCAUCUGCCUCUGCCGCCCUGGGGGCCUUGGCCAAGCUCACCUGCACCCUCAGCGCUGAGCACAGCAGCUACACUAUUCACUGGUAUCAGCAGAGAGCAGCACAGGCCCCUCGGUACAUCAUGUAUCUUACGAGUUCUGGAAGCCAGGGCAAGGGAGACGGGAUCCCUGAUCGCUUCUCGGGCUCCAGCUCCGGGGCCGCCCGCUACUUAACCAUCUCCAACCUCCAGUCUGAGGACGAGGCUGAGUAUUACUGUGGUGCAGACUAUAGCAUUGGUGGCCAAUACGGGUUCCACAGUGACACAGACAAAGGGGAAGUGGGGCUGAAACCUCCCUCCCUCUGUCUGCUCCUCCCAGGGACUCAGGGGACCUGCUGCCUGUCCCCCUCCUGGGUGCUGUGA